UACGUAGGGUGCAAGCGUUGUCCGGAAUUAUUGGGCGUAAAGAGCUUGUAGGCGGUUUGUCGCGUCUGCUGUGAAAUUUCGGGGCUCAACCCCGAACUUGCAGUGGGUACGGGCAGGCUAGAGUGUGGUAGGGGAGACUGGAAUUCCUGGUGUAGCGGUGAAAUGCGCAGAUAUCAGGAGGAACACCAGUGGCGAAGGCGACUACCUGGCCUGUUCUUGACGCUGAGGCGCGAAAGCUAGGGGAGCAAACGGG
rnacentral:rRNA from 1 species